rnacentral:piRNA from 1 species
UAUAAAUACGUUCAUUGAGAU